rnacentral:rRNA from 1 species
GACGAACGCUGGCGGCGUGCCUAACACAUGCAAGUCGAGCGGGGAUUUAAGUGGAAGUUCUUCGGAAUGGAGAUUUAAAUUCUAGCGGCGGACGGGUGAGUAACGCGUGAACAAUCUGUCCCGGACAGGGGGAUAACACUUGGAAACAGGUGCUAAUACCGCAUAAGACCACGGCCUCGCAUGGGGCUGAGGUAAAAGGAGCAAUCCGGUUCGGGGUGGGUUCGCGUCCGAUUAGCUAGUUGGUGAGGUAACGGCCCACCAAGGCGACGAUCGGUAGCCGGCCUGAGAGGGUGAACGGCCACAUUGGAACUGAGAGACGGUCCAAACUCCUACGGGAGGCAGCAGUGGGGAAUAUUGGGCAAUGGGCGAAAGCCUGACCCAGCAACGCCGCGUGAGGGAAGAAGGUUUUCGGAUUGUAAACCUCUGUCCUAUGGGACGAAGGAAGUGACGGUACCAUAGGAGGAAGCCCCGGCUAACUACGUG